AUCCCAGUGACCAGGGCCAUGCUCACAGCUCGCAAGGCAGGCACAGUGUCUUGGAGAAUUUGGGAUGAAGUCCUGGAAAUGGUUUGAUUUUGUUGGCCACUGAUUUUAGAACAGCUAGAAUUUUGCACUGAAAGUGACAGCAGCCCGAAUGUUUCGCUUGCUCGCCUCAUUACCAGUCCUCACACUUCUCAGGGCUUCAGCUGGCACGGUUCAAACUCCCUGUGGCCACUGCCCACUGCUUGGGCUGUCCGAUUGUUCCAGCCCAGUGUGAUGCAGUUUGCUUUUCCUCCAGGGCUCCACGAUGCUGAUGCAAGCCAGAUGUUUAAAGCACAGCCCAUUUCAGGGUUUGCACUACUCGGGCAAUAGUCUCCCCAGCCUUUUGCUCUGUCCCAGUGGAGCAGCACCCCUGCCAUGCCUGGGACUCUCAUGGGUGUGCAGGAGCACACCUAGUGCACCCCCACCAUCUGCCAUACACACGUGGCUUCCAAAAACUAGCUGGAAUCUUGCUCCAAGAUCCCAGCAGCCUCAUUUCCUUUAAUAGCCCACUUGAAACUUGAGUCUCAAAGGAGGCAGAAAGGUUUUCUCUGUAUUUAUUCCGAACUUGUUGUCACAAUAGCAUCUCCAUAUUCCUUUGGUGCAAACAAAAAGCUCCUUAUGUGUGAGCAGUGCAAGAUGUUAGCUGUACUUUAAAGCAAACAAACAGCAAAAAGCACCACACCUCUAAGAACAUUCAGCUCUACAGCCUUGGCUCCCACACAUCUCCCACACCCAUCUAUUACUGCUUUGCACUUGAGUUGCCUAUAGGGUCAAAAAGCUUUGGUUUUCAAAAAAGGUUACUCAUGAGACAGACUCCUAUUAAGAACAUUAAACAAGUCCUUGUGAUUCUGAAAAAAAUUACAUAUUGGGGUGCAAAAGAAGAAAAGUUACAUGCUUACUAGCUAGUGAAAUUUCUGGUUUUACUGUAGAGGUGACUAGUCACAUUCUUUUUCUUGUCCUACAGAAGAGCUUUUGAGAACUGAACAGGUAAUCUUAAAAUAGAACUUUGUUCUCAUUUUUUAAUGUCCACCUAUUGAGAGGUUGGGUUUUCAAAAAGCCCUUUUCAAUGGAGUAAUGGUCUCCUUUUCCUCAGCUCUUUCAUAGUCAUCCUGCCACAUGAAAGAAUCAUCCUCCAUGUCAUCUUUCAGAGUAACAGUUCACAAAAUUCGGGUCAUCACCAACAGAAAUGAUUUUGCAGUGGGUUUGGAAAUUCUGCAGGUAGGAGAAAAAAGGUGUCAGACCUUCAUUUGGUGUGCCUUGUCCCAGGUUCCCUGGCUGAAACAGGCAGGAAUUUGGCCAUACAGCUUUUAUGUGAUACUGAUUUAAGCCUUUGUACAAGCCACUGAGUCACAACAUGGAUUUUCAUGUUUGUUUUAAUGGAACCAUUAUGUUACGCUAGAAACAUGUGAUAACCAGAGGCUAAACUGCCUGUAUGGUCUUUGAAACAAUACAGAUUAUCCUCAUGAAGUUUGACAUACUGUGGACAACAAACUGUUGCUGGUCCCUUCUCUGGGUUUCCUUCCACAGAAGUCAGAAGACAUUGGGCCUAGGAAAGAGAGCAGCUUGUACUCCAAGCAGAGCUCUACUCUGAAACCAAAGGAAAAACAAAGCUAACUGAAAAAAAGAUGGAUAGACAACAGACAUGAACUAACAUGCCAUGGGACCCCGUGCACCAAGCUGUUCCAGGGCUUUCUGGAUCACACUGCAGACUGAGGCAAGCACACGUCCAGGUCUCUGCCAAGAGAUGCUUUGGGAUGAGCAGGCAGCAGCAAGGAUGUGAGCCAAGAGCCUGGUUGGGUGAAUUUUUUCUUUAGUGUUCCCUCCAGGAAACACCUGGGCUGCUGGUUUACAUACAGACCCUUCAUUAGCACAGUGGCUGUCACUUAGAGAGUCUUGUCCAGCAGGAAGGAAGGAAAAAAAAAAAAAAGUAAAAACUUUGAAAGGGAAAAUUUCUAAUCACACUGUGAUCAUAGUAAAGACCAUAAAUAAUCCCACUUCCAUCAAGUUGACUAGACCCCUUGGACAAAUAAUAAAUAACUUAGUUGAACAAGUCCAUUUGCUCAGGCUUCUGUUCUUAAAAUCAAGUGGAAAUACGAACUUCUUGAAGCACUGGAUGGAAGCCCAAGCUCACCUGCUUGUGCAAGAUCAUGACCAAGCUGCUCCCCAACCUGAAAUUUUGACACUGCCAGCAGUCAGUGUGCAAAGAGCCUCUGCUUUUCCUAAUAUGUGGAUAUGGACAAGGAAUUUAUGAUGGUAGAUUAAGUUCAUAAGUAGGAAUAGGAAGUAAUUUCUGCCCCACAGCAAUUAUUGGCCAUUCCUGUCUGCCUUGCUAAGGGUCUGGGAUGGGACUGAGUUCUAUUUAAUGUGAUAUUUUGUGAAUGACCUGUACAAGGCAAUGGGUGCACUGCCUCAAAAAAAAAAAAAAAAAAAAAAAAAAAAAAAAAAAAAAAAAAAAAAAAAAAUCACACUUCCCCUUUGAAGAAAUAAAUCUUUUAGCCUUUCAUCUCCUCUGCAGCAAAGACUAAAACGUCAUGGUGGGAAGAAUAAGUCACCUUAUUUUGCUGGUAACAGAGCAAUCAAGCUGUAAAUCCCAGGCCAAAAGGACAACAGUAAGCCAGACAGGUGAGAAAGUUUUCCUGAAGACCUGGCAUGUCUGAGAAGCCUUUGGUACUUGCAUUCUACCCACAGCAUCAGCCUGAGGGUGACAGGCCCUCCCAGGAAGGCAGGAGAACCCUGUAACUUUGGAAGAGACCUCGCUGUUUUAUCUGGUAAACUAAGCAGGAGCUGGCUGCCAGCCCGAGCAGUGGUACACAAUCCUCUGAACUGUUUAUCUAUUAAUACCCUUCCUGGCACUGCUUCAGCCCAUGCCAGAUAGCCUCCCACUGAAGGUCCUGGCAUGAGACAGGGGAUGGCAGUGGCCAGUAUGAAUUAAACAACAUUUGGAGUGUGGGAAAGAAUUCAGCCUGUAUCCAGAUGGCAGCACAAUGCACAGACAACAGGUUCUGUCCUGGUUUAUCUGCAGGCAGACCCUGUGGGCAGAGCAGGGUGCAGAGGUUCUUCACUGUCACUGUGGCUUCUGGUGCCCUGCUCAAGGCUGUCCAGGCUGUUGGACUGCUUGGAGACCCUGCUCAGGGCAGCUUCCCUGGGCUGAGACCUGGCUUUGGAGCCUUGCCCAAUUAGAAGUGUGUUAUUUGCUGUUUGCCUGCAGAAAUCUCUCUGCCCAUUACAUAGUGGGAGGUCAUUUCAUAGGCUGACAAGUGCAGCUGGAGAAGACUUCUGGGAGGCUGAGACUAACUUGCUGCAAUAACUACAAUUUUAUACCCAAGCCUCAGACAUCAUCUUGAGGAGCCAAGCUGAGCUCAGACCCUGGCUGGUAGCCAGUGAGUUUUUCUGCUCUUUAAGGCAAACAUCUUUAACAAAAAAGGCUGAGAAAGAGCAAGAGUCACUUUGAUUUCUUUUCCAGUGGUCACUAAUCCCUCCUUGGUACAGAUGCUGGUUUAUGUCAGGUUUUAGCAGUUGGCUCUGUUCAGCCUUCCUGCAGAGGAGCAGACUGACCAGUCCCUCUGUAUGGGUGUAGAUUUUGGCCAUCUGUUGAUAGAACAACACAAAAUAGAGCAGGAAGAUUAUGCCCUGUGUGAUAUGAAACAAACCCUUCACCAUGGAGACAUUCUCCUAGGUCUUCUUACUAGUGCUAGUUUAAUAUGAAAGGCAAUCUUCUGAAACACCAGUAGUAAAAAUUAGCAGAAUACUUCACUUAUCACCAUCUCAUUUCUGGCAUUAACUUUGUUUAUCCAUGCAGUUUGUGUUGCAGGAAAAACUAAAUUAUGUCUUUCUUUCUCGUUGGAGAAAUGUAUUAACACUGUUAUUGUGUUAGUGUUUUCUUUCCAAAUAGUUUUCCAUUUACUGUUAGAGCAUAUAGUUCACAUGGUCAAAUCACUGACAGAUGCAGAUCAAACAAAUACAAGUUUUCAAAGUCAGGGGUAUUUUUAUUUCUUUAAAUUAAGAUAACCAUCUUUCAGAUGAUUUUUCCACCAAAAGCUCUGUGCCAUAUUGUGUUAGGCCAGGUGAACGUCUGUAGCUUUUGUUUACUUGCAUUUAAUUUUAGCUUUGUGUUUUUGUGCAUCGCUUCCCUCUAACUCCCAGAAGUGAGAAGGAAGUGGGCUGAAGGUAUCAAGAGUGACCUUCAUGUUCACUUCAAAGCAAGUUAUAGUUGGUGCCUCACUAUUUUUAUACAUUAUUAAUCAUCUCCACUCUUAGGAGAAGUGUUUACUAGUAGAUACAAAAGUAAUCAGUACAGUCAUUAUGAUGCACAGCUACUGGAUUCAUUAGAAAGUGAUAAAGAACUGGUGAGGAAGAAUAUUGACUGGAAUUACAGGUUUAAGAAUGGGAUAAAAAGUUCAAACCUAAGUACGUGUAAAGACCGCUUGCACAAACUUUGUACAGUGCCAGUGUGUCCCCUUCUUACCCACUGGGACUAACUGGUGCCCUUUAAAUAUCCCAGGGUCUGUGUAACUAAGAGAGGAAGUUUCUGUUCAGUGAUUAAACCUCACUGGUGUCAGAAACUAGCUUCUAUUGUGUAAAUCUAGCCUGGCCUCAGCUGAGGUUUCUCUGGCUUCUCUCUUGCCUGCAGUUGUUUUUAAGAGUCUAUUUCUAUACCAGUUCUUAAAGGUCAGUAUCAGAUUAUCCUGCAUAAGAAGGAAGGAUGUAACACUUUGCAUCCUCAGGGCAGAUAUAGCCAGGAGUUUACUCUUGCCUGCAGUCCUGUCCACUCCUCUCCCCCAAAACAGAACAAACCCACAACCGAACGCAAAAGCAACAACAAGAAAAGAAAACAACCACCGAAAACCCCCGGACCUGUACACUCAUCCAGAACAGUCACCACUGGCAUUUCUCUGCAGAACACUUCCCCUUACAGAAAUCACACAGAACUGAUGGAAAGCCAAGAACAAAUUGUCUUAAGGACAGAUGAGUACCAGUGUUUUCCACAGUUCCAUGAUUUACCUUCAUCGUUUGGAUUAAAUCGGAUGCCGGAGGGCUUAGAGCAGUCCCAAUACUUAGCUGUUAAUCAGCUGGCAUCUGUUUAUCCUCCAGACCAGGAGAUCUCCUCCAGUUUUGAAGCCAAACUGUGAGCUAGGGCUCUUAACUAGUUGGUAUCGUUCACUUCUGCACAACCAUCUCUUGAACUCAUUGGUUUUACUCUGUGCUAGGUGUUUGAAAGCCUAGUUAGGAAGAGGCAGAAAAUAGCCACUUUCAGGGUGAGGUUGCCACAUACUUGGGCUGGAAUAAAUGGAUGUUUCCACUCCAUCAGGAGCAGUGUCACUGUGCCCUGGGAGCACACACAGAAACUCCUCCUGCUUUGAGGCAAGGCACGUGCAGAGGGCACGGAAGGUCUGAAGUCUCCUGGCACCCUCGCUUUGACUGGCCGUGCCACCAAAGAGGCUGAGGCCCUUGCAGGAAGGCAGGUGCCAAGAUUUUGGCUGUAUUCUCCAUCUUCUGACCUCUAGAAUACUUUUAAAUCCUCUGUUUCCAUUUCUGUCCUCAUAUCUUACGCUAACAAUUUGUGUUCCUUCUCCAGAUAGCCACAUCUUUCUGGCAUUUAACUGAUCUCUCAUUUCUCUGUGCCCCAGCCAAUAUGCUGUUCUCCUCAAGCCUCAGUUCUUCCAGUAUUGAUCUGAUUCUUCUUCCUUAACUCAUUUCUUCUCAAAUGCUCUUGGGUUUAUGAUUUCUACCACUACAAAAGGGAGUAAAUACUGUCAGGUUAUAUUUCAAGAAAGGGGAAAUUGAUGGAAGUAAGAUAUCAACUUGUCUUUGUAAUUAAAGGUUCUAGAAGCAGGAAAUAACCUGCCUCCUCUGACAAGCAAAAAAUGCAGUGGGCUUGCAAGUGGGAUCAGGAAAGUUAAUUUGGUUUUGAAAUACUGGAACAGGUAGAUGCAAUAUUUGCCAGAAGGUGAGAACACAACAGCAUCUUCACAGAUAACAAGAGCUUCCCAGCUGUUUCCAGAAUGCAUUCCUGAACAAACAACUCCUUGAAGAAACAGUAUAUCCUCACCCCUGUAAGUUCAAAUUAUUGGGCUUGAAUAGCAGAUCGAGGGGAGAAUUGCAUCUGUCACCAGACACAGCAGUCUGUGGCUGUCACCGAUCAAACGAGGUCAGAGGAGGACACUGUUUCCUAGUGACAAAGCUUAAUUACAAGGAAUAAAGGAAACCAGAGCCUUGCCAUUUUGCAGAGUGUUGUGUUGAACCACAGCACGUAGAUCUCCCUCACCCAAGGUUACAAAUAGAUAUUUCUUAAAAAGUGACAAUAUACUUCCAUUAGAAUAUACUUGAAGAGAAUUCACAGAGGUUGCCUCCAGAAAGCAAUCAGAAGCUUUAAACAGCUGUGAAAAGGCAAUGAAGGCAAAAGAUGCUUCUGUAAACUAAACUCGCGUUCACCUGGGACAAGAAUGUCUCUCAGUUUUCUUGUGCCAAUGAGGCAAAGAUGAGAGCACAGAAAUGCACAAAAGGAGGCUUUGGGGAAAGGUCUGAAGCACAGGAAUUGCCAAGUACGUACAGACUCACCAGAAGCAUCUACAUCCACCUUUCCACUCUGCUACUGACCUGCCUGAGCUGAAUCAAACUAAAAUUGGGCCAGGUCUGCCCUUUGGAGGGUCAGCAGCCACCCUGACACUCAGGUUUCAUCUUCCAUCACUGGGGAAGAGAAACAGAGUUCCCAGAAACGGCCCCCAUUUUCCACCCCAGCACAUCUGUGCGGAUCACAGACUCUGUCAGACCCACCUGAGGUGUCCUUGGUCAGCAGCACCUCGUGUGUGACCAGCCAGGACAGGAGGGGGCACAGCAGGCAGAGAGAGCACAGCUCUGCCCUUCCCCAGUUGCAGGUACAGUGCAGCAGGACAAUCUCACACCCAUGAUUUUGCAGCCAGAAUAUCUGUGCAGCUUUCAGGUUCCCAAGAGCUGUGCCUGCACCUGCCUGUCCGUGUAGGGAGGAUGAGUAGCAGCUGCUCCUGCACUGCUCAGAGCUCUGUGUAUUUACCUUCCAGAGCUUCGCAGGGGAAGCCGUGCCUUAGCAACAGCCAGGUGGUAUUAAAAAAGAGCCAAGUGACAUGUAGGAAGAGAAUUCAGGGUGAUGGUGGGGGAGAGAUUAUUCAAUGUUUUCCAUAUUUCCAUCUAACAGAAUUUAAUUUCCUUGAAGUUACUGCAGUCAAUGACAAGCAGAAGGGUGCACGUGAAAUACCUCUGAGCACGGAAAUAAAGCAUGACUAGACACACCAAAUAACCCAUGCAGACUGCAAGAGGUUGUUUAAAAAAUAAUUAUAUACUUGUCACUGAAGAAGCUUUUCUAUAUUCAUAAAUCCUUUUUCCUCAUAGCCUUUUCUGGUGGAAUUCAGAUAGCACACGUGCCAUUAUGCUAAACAACCAGUUCUGGAAUACCUCACUUCUCUCUUUUACAGGCAUUAAAGCAGUAGUUACACUUCUUAAUAGGGAUCAUUUUAGGGACAGUUAAGGCCUGUGCUUAGUCACUUCAUCAUUGACUAAAAUACAAACUCUGCUCAUAUGCUAUUAAAGAGAUUGGAAACAAAGCUUUAAAUAAGUACUUAGCUUGCUUUUAAAGCAAUGUGGUUUCUUUACCAUGAUAAAGUAUAAAAAUACAUAUGAGAUCAUAAAGCUCACAGUAAUUUUGUUGCUGAAGAAGUUUUACAGAUCUACUUGAAUUUAUUUGGUCUGAAGCUUGCCUUGGUCUAGCAUUUUUUUGAGUUGAAAACAUUUUUUAUACAAACAGCAUAUGAUUGAAUACAACUAAGCUUUUUUUAUACAUGUGUAAAGUGGACAAAAAUGAUUUUCCCUAAGUAAGGAAAUGCUAUAUAUAGAAGAAAAGCUAAAGACUUUCAAGUCACAGACUUCGGUAGGUUUGUUAACACCAUCCCCAGGGAGGCAGAAAGACAAUAAAAAAGCAAUUUCCUUCACAAGAAUAUACAGAACAUCAGAAACAGCAAGUACAGAGAGCAGUGUUGUGCAGAGUGGAAGUCAUUUAUCCUGUUGGCUCAUAUUUUGCACUCUACUGAUCAUCAUUCCCUGUUACCAUGAACAGGAGGUGCACACACAUCAGUAGGUAACACUGAGUUUUAAAAUUUUUUUUGACAAAUGUCACAACCUGAAUAAGCCGGGGAAAACGUGGACUCCACAACUCUUGAGAUGUAUGGUGUGGAAUGACAGCUCUGGGGCAGAAGGAAUGCUGCAGGGCAUUGCAGACCUCUUGGGGAUAAAGCAGUCUCUGUGCUCCAGAGUUGUCCCAGGGAGCACCAUGGCCAGGAAACUGCAUCCCUCAGGGGACCUGCACACAGUGCUGCUGCUAAGGGGGAGAAACCUGCAUCUUGACCUUCUGCAACUUCUUCUCAGACCUCGAGGGUAGCAGACCUGGGUUGUGGUAGAAAUUGGACUAGAUGCUCUUACUUGGUUUUUUCCUUCCCUCUUUUUUUAGCAGAUAUACCAAAAAAGAUUUCAUACUAAUGCAUACACACAAAAUUGUUAUUUAAAGUUACUACCGCUCGGGCUCAAAGACACACAGCUUCCACAAUGACAAGGGCAAACCAGAAGCUUGUCUGUAGCAAAUAAAAAUUAAUCUGGGGAUAGUGCUGAGCCAUUGGAAGCAGGGGGACUGAUUCUGCAGGAGCACAGUUACUGAGGUAGACCAGACAUCACAGAGGAAAUGCUAGAUGGCUGCACUGAAAGGGUUUAGGAAGGAGACUGGGAUGUGCACGGAUGUGUCAGAUUUCAACAGAUGGAAUGCUGAUCUGGGGUUUAUAUAAUUCAGAGCUGUUCUGACAGAGUACUCAGGGACAGACGUGCAGAGUGACAGAGAAAGCAGUAUUUAAGGAGCUUUGCCAUGUUUUCCCAUGCUCACUUGGAAAAAGAUGGAAAGAAAAGACCCAAAUAAGUUUUUCCAUCAUUUAAAAAAAAACCCAGCAUGUACACAAAAAAACCCCCAAAACAACAGAAAAAAAACCCCAAAAGUGACAGUGGCAGGAAUCCUUUCUUUGUGUCACCUCCCAGUUAGGUUUGUGCACCAAUAACACUGUAUUUAUAUUAAACCUGGAGCUCCAUAUUGACAGUUUUUCCACCAAUUCAGUACAUUGUAAAAGGUAUCUGCAAAUCAUUCAAAAUACACUUUGCCACUCCAGAUUUCUGUUAAGUAACACCUUCCUGAACUUCAAAGCAAAUAAAACUGGAAAUGUAAGGACAUUGUAAA